rnacentral:tRNA from 1 species
GCACCUUUAUCUCAGUUGGUAGAGCACCUGACUCUUAAUAAGGGCGUCUAGGGUUCGAGUCCCUGAAGGUGUACCA